UACGGAGGGUGCAAGCGUUAUCCGGAUUCACUGGGUUUAAAGGGUGCGUAGGUGGGCAGUUAAGUCAGUGGUGAAAUCUCCGGGCUUAACCCGGAAACUGCCAUUGAUACUAUCUGUCUUGAAUACCGUGGAGGUAAGCGGAAUAUGUCAUGUAGCGGUGAAAUGCUUAGAUAUGACAUAGAACACCAAUUGCGAAGGCAGCUUACUACACGUACUAUUGACACUGAGGCACGAAAGCGUGGGGGAUCAAACAGG
rnacentral:rRNA from 1 species